UACGAAGGGGGCUAGCGUUGCUCGGAAUUACUGGGCGUAAAGCGCACGUAGGCGGUCUUUUUAAGUCGGGGGGUGAAAUCCUGGAGCUCAACUCCAGAACUGCCUUCGAUACUGGAAGACUUGAGUCCGGGAGAGGUGAGUGGAACUGCGAGUGUAGAGGUGAAAUUCGUAGAUAUUCGCAAGAACACCGGUGGCGAAGGCGGCUCACUGGCUCAUUACUGACGCUCAGGCGCGACAGCGUGGGGGAUCAAACAGG
rnacentral:rRNA from 1 species